UGGGGAAUAUUGGGCAAUGGGGGAAACCCUGACCCAGCGACGCCGCGUGAGGGAAGAAGGUUUUCGGAUUGUAAACCUCUGUCCUUGGUGACGAUAAUGACGGUAGCCAAGGAGGAAGCCACGGCUAACUACGUGCCAGCAGCCGCGGUAAUACGUAGGUGGCGAGCGUUGUCCGGAAUUACUGGGUGUAAAGGGAGCGUAGGCGGGAGAGCAAGUCGACUGUGAAAGCUAUGGGCUUAACCCAUAGAUGCGAUCGAAACUGUUCAUCUUGAGUGAAGUAGAGGCAGGCGGAAUUCCUAGUGUAGCGGUGAAAUGCGUAAAUAUUAGGAGGAACACCAGUGGCAAGGCGGCCUGCUGGGCUUUUAACUGACGCUGAGGCUCGAAAGCGUGGGUAGCAAACAGGAUUAGAUACCC
rnacentral:rRNA from 1 species